rnacentral:tRNA from 1 species
AUUAUUUUGACAGAAAAAAUGUGUUAAAUUUAGAAUUUAAUUAUAUGUUUAUUAAUAAACAUAAAUAAUA